GAGGAGAGCAAGAUUCCUCUCGGGCUAGCGAGUUCUCUCCUUGCUGUGUCUGGGGGAGCCUGCGGGCGGUCGGAACGGGCUCUGGAGCUCAGGGUGGACCCCUCUGGAACUCGGAUGGAGGGUUCCCGGAUUGCAGUGGAAUAGACGCUCUUGUCCACAGACCCGAGGCUGGGAGGGCUCCACGCAUCCAUUCUCUGGCUUAGAAGUCAGAGGCGCCUGUCUGUGCCGUGCUUGGCAAAGGAGGGACCGAACUCUCACAGGAGACCCUUUGCCUCGUGUCCACACUCAUUUGCUCAGCGAACAUUCACCAACUUGUCUUGAUGUGUGCCAGGCGCUCUGGCGGGCACUGACACUUCCCUGACAGUCACCCCGCUCCACAGGGCUAACACAGAGGGAGAAGGCGGGCAGAGAGCCCGGAGCAAGCCCGCCAACCAGCUCAUUUGGUGAGGAGAUCUGGGAAAGGAAAGAAUCUCUUUGGUGGACAGGCCGGAGAGGUCGUUCAGGGGUUAGAGCACAGGCCUGCCAUAUGGCUCACCCUGGUUCCGUGCCUGGCACUGCACAGGGGCCCCUGAGCUACCAUCCAGGGUCACCCCUGAAUACUGCUGCGCGUGGCCUCAAGUGACAAAGGAAAAUAAAAGGGUGUCACCAGAGAGUGAACACUCUGCUGUCACCAUCAUUCCAUCAACUCGUCUCCUCAUGUCUAUGAACCAGGAACCAGAAGGAGUCGCACCUAAGGGGAGAGAAGUGGGGCCCCCCAGGGGAGAGAAGAAGUUCCACCUGAGGGGAGAGAAACUGGGUCCCCCCUGAGGGAGAGAAGUGGGGUCCCCCCUGAGGGGAGAGAAGUGGGGUCCCCCUGAGAGGAGAGAAGUGGGGUCCUGCCUGAGGGGAGAGAAGCGAUGUUCCACCUGAGAGGAGAGAAGCGGGGUCCCUCCUGAGGGAAUAGAAGUGGGGUCCCUCCUGAGGGGAGAGAAGUGGGGUCCCACCUGAAGGGAGAGAAGAGGGGCCCCAGCGGACAGGGAGCCUGCCAGGGCUGCCCCUGCUCACACCAGGCCUGCUCCAUGCUGAUCUGUAGCAUGUUGGCUGUCCCCUCUCUGUGUCACAGCCACGAGAGCACCUAGAGAGGGGCCCCUCGGCCCUGGGCUGCUUCCUCAGUGGGACUCAGCCCCAACCCCGUGUGGCCCCUGCCCUCUCUCAGUUGUCCAUCAGGGGGUGCCCUCUCAGUCGCCCGUAAUUCUCCACUCAGCUUCCUCUGCUCUAUGUUCCUGGUGUUUUCCUGCCAGGCGUCACCCGGGCCUCGGAAGGCUCUCACCUGGCUCGGACCACCCCUCAAGCAAGU